UGAGUAACCUGCCCUUAACUCUGGGAUAAGCCUGGGAAACUGGGUCUAAUACCGGAUAUGACUCCUCAUCGCAUGGUGGGGGGUGGAAAGCUUUUUGUGGUUUUGGAUGGACUCGCGGCCUAUCAGCUUGUUGGUGAGGUAAUGGCUCACCAAGGCGACGACGGGUAGCCGGCCUGAGAGGGUGACCGGCCACACUGUGACUGAGACACGGCCCAGACUCCUACGGGAGCAG
rnacentral:rRNA from 1 species